AUUGAACGCUGGCGGCAGGCCUAACACAUGCAAGUCGAGCGAGCGGCGGACGGGUGAGUAAUGUCUGGGAAACUGCCUGAUGGAGGGGGGUAACUACUGGAAACGGUAGCUAAUAACGCAUACCAUCAGAUGUGCCCCGAUGGGGGUAGCCAUUAGGUGGGGUAAUGGCUCACCUAGGCGACGAUCCCUAGCUGGUCUGAGAGGAUGACCAGCCACACUGGAAUGGGGACACGGUCCAGACUCCUACGGGCGGCAGCAGUGGGGAAUAUUGCACAAUGGGCGCAAGCCUGAUGCAGCCAUGCCGCGUGUAUGAAGAAGGCCUUCGGGUUGUAAAGUACUUUCAGCGGGGAGGCGUUACCCGCAGAAGAAGCACCGGCUAACUCCGUGCCAGCAGCCGCGGUAAUUC
rnacentral:rRNA from 1 species